rnacentral:rRNA from 1 species
UAAGGAAUAUUGGUCAAUGGACGCAAGUCUGAACCAGCCAUGCCGCGUGAAGGAUGAAGGUCCUCUGGAUUGUAAACUUCUUUUAUCUGGGACGAAAACGGGAUUUUUAUCUCAAUUGACGGUACCAGAGGAAUAAGCACCGGCUAACUCCGUGCCAGCAGCCGCGGUAAUACGGAGGGUGCGAGCGUUAUCCGGAUUUACUGGGUUUAAAGGGUGCGUAGGUGGGCUUAUAAGUCAGUGGUGAAAUCUCCGAGCUUAACUUGGAAACUGCCGUUGAUACUAUAGGUCUUGAAUUAUCUGGAGGUAAGCGGAAUAUGUGAUGUAGCGGUGAAAGGGUUAGAUAGGACAUAGAACACCAAUUGCGAAGGGAGCUUAAUACAUAUAAAUUGACGCUGAGGCACGAAAGCGUGGGGAU